UACGUAGGGUGCAAGCGUUAUCCGGAAUUAUUGGGCGUAAAGAGCUCGUAGGCGGUCUGUCGCGUCUGCUGUGAAAACUCAGGGCUUAACCCUGAGCUUGCAGUGGGUACGGGCAGACUAGAGUGCGGUAGGGGAGACUGGAAUUCCUGGUGUAGCGGUGAAAUGCGCAGAUAUCAGGAGGAACACCGGUGGCGAAGGCGGGUCUCUGGGCCGUAACUGACGCUGAGGAGCGAAAGCGUGGGGAGCGAACAGG
rnacentral:rRNA from 1 species